UACGAAGGGGGCUAGCGUUGCUCGGAAUGACUGGGCGUAAAGCGCGUGUAGGCUGCUUCGAAAGUCGGGUGUGAAAGCCCUGGGCUCAACCUAGGAAGUGCACUCGAAACUUCGAAGCGUCGAGUCCUGGAGAGGAAGGCGGAAGUUACUCGGUGUGAGAGGUGGAAAUUCGAUAGAUAUCGAGAGGAACGAACCGGUGGCCG
rnacentral:rRNA from 1 species